rnacentral:rRNA from 2 species
GUUCAUGACUGGGGUGAAGUCGUAACAAGGUAGCGCUAGGGGAACCUGGCGCUGGAUCACCUCCUUAAACGAUGAU